UACCCNUUUGCAGCAGUGAGGAAUAUUGGUCAAUGGGCGCGAGCCUGANCCAGCCAAGUAGCGUGGGGGAAGACUGCCCUAUGGGUUGUAAACCCCUUUUGCGCGGGGAUAAACCGGCGGACGUGUCCGUCGCUGCAGGUACCGCGCGAAUAAGGACCGGCUAAUUCCGUGCCAGCAGCCGCGGUAAU
rnacentral:rRNA from 1 species